rnacentral:rRNA from 1 species
AGCGCAGGCGGGAAGACAAGUUGGAAGUGAAAUCCAUGGGCUCAACCCAUGAACUGCUUUCAAAACUGUUUUUCUUGAGUAGUGCAGAGGUAGGCGGAAUUCCCGGUGUAGCGGUGGAAUGCGUAGAUAUCGGGAGGAACACCAGUGGCGAAGGCGGCCUACUGGGCACCAACUGACGCUGGGGCUCGAAAGUGUGGGUAGUAAACA